rnacentral:sRNA from 1 species
GCUGGGCAUGGUGGUGCACACCUCUAAUCCCAGUAGCUGGGAGGCUGAGGCAGGGGAUCACAAGUUCAAAGCCAGCCUCAGCAACUUAGCAAGGCUGACAGCAACCUAAUGAGACCCUGUCUCUA